UUAGUUUAUAUUUGUUGGUUAUUUAAUAUAUUUUAUUUUAGUAUACAAGUUUACUUGAUUCUUUUAUUUACAUGAUAAUCUUUAUUUGAUAAGCGUUAACAGUAAUUAUAAUUAAAUUUUAAGGGGACUUUGAUUUAGAAAUUGAAAAUAGAGUUAACAAAUUUUGUGCCAGCAGUUGCGGUUAAACAAUAAGCUCUAAGUAAUUUUAAAAUUGAUAUUAAUUAUUUUGAGGGGAAGAAAUAAAAAAUAUUAAUUUUAAGGUAAAAUUUUAAUUUAUAAAUUUAUUCUGUUAAAUUAAUUAAGAAACUGUAGGAUAAGACCAGGAUUAGAUACCCUGUUAAUUUAGUGUAAAUGUUUUGGAGUAGUAAAAGUUAGGAUCUGGAAACUCAAAGAAUUUGGCGGUAUUUUAUCUUAUUAGAGGAACCUGUUUAUUAAUUGAUAGUCCACAACUUUAAUUUACUUUUAAUAUUAUAUUUGUAUAUCGCUGUCAUGAAUCUAUUAAGAAAUUUAUUUUCUUUGUUUUUAUGAAAUUUAUGUUAGGUCAAGGUGCAGUUUUUAAAAGAAUAAAAUGGGUUACAUUAAUUAAGUAGGAAUGGAAAAAAUUAAAUUGAAAGUUUUGGAAAAAGGAUUUAAAAGUAAAGUUAAAAUAGUAUUUUUAUGAAUAAAGAUUCUAAAAUAUGUACACAUUGCCCGUCGCUCUUGUUCAUGCAAGAUAAGUCGUAACAUAGUAGAUGUACCGGAAGGUGUGUCUGGAUCGA
rnacentral:ncRNA from 1 species